GGCGCCCUCAAGCUGAAGUCACAGGCAGUUAUGAGGUCACAGGCAGUUAUGAGGUCACAGGCAGUUAUGAGGUCAUAGGCAGUUAUGAGAUCACAGGCAGGUAUGAGGUCACAGGCAGGUAUGAGGUCACAGGCAGUUAUGAGCAAUCCAAUUUGGUCGCUGGGAACUAAACUUGGAUCCUCUAGAGGAGCAGCAAGAACAUAUGCUGAUGUCCCCCAGUGCGCUGUCACAAAGCCCUUAAAGUACGAAGCUCAGGACCACAGCACCCAGAAGUCAACACUCCACACGGCCAGGAACACAGAUGCCAGCGCAUUGCUCUGAAGAAACAACGUACUAAGGAAAAUGAAGAGAGGCUGAAAAAUAUGCUAAACUUGUGCCCAAGAGAAUAAAGGAAGCCAGAGAAAAAGACCAAAAACGGAUUGUCAAG
rnacentral:lncRNA from 1 species